UACGUAGGGGGCAAGCGUUAUCCGGAUUUACUGGGUGUAAAGGGGGCGCAGACGGCAGCGCAAGCCAGGAGUGAAAGCCCGGGGCCCAACCCCGGGACUGCUCUUGGAACUGCGCGGCUGGAGUGCAGGAGGGGCAAGCGGAAUUCCUGGUGUAGCGGUGAAAUGCGUAGAUAUCAGGAGGAACACCGGUGGCGAAGGCGGCCUGCUGGACUGCGACUGACGUUGAGGCCCGAAAGCGUGGGGAGCAAACAGG
rnacentral:rRNA from 1 species